rnacentral:rRNA from 1 species
UACGGAAGGGGCAAGCGUUGUUCGGAAUCAUUGGGCGUAAAGGGUGCGUAGGUGGCGUCGUAAGUCGGGUGUGAAAUCUCGGGGCUUAACUCCGAAAACUGCAUUCGAUACUGCGGUGCUUGAGGACUGGAGAGGAGACUGGAAUUUACGGUGUAGCAGUGAAAUGCGUAGAGAUCGUAAGGAAGACCAGUGGCGAAGGCGGGUCUCUGGGCCGUAACUGACGCUGAGGAGCGAAAGCAUGGGGAGCAAACAGG